CACGCUGUAAACCAUGCCUGCUAGAUGCUCCGUUUUCGGAGUGUCGAAGCUAACGCGUUAAGCAGGCCGCCUGGGAAGUACGAUCGCAAGAUUAAAACUCAAAGGAAUUGGCGGGGACCCGCACAAGCGGUGGAGCAUGCUCUUUAAUUGGCUGAUAACCCAAGAACCUUACCAGGGCUUGACAUGCAUAAAGUAGUGAACCGAAAGGGGAACGACCGGUAUCCAGUCCGGAGUUUGCACAGGUGU
rnacentral:rRNA from 1 species